rnacentral:rRNA from 1 species
UACAGAGGGGGCAAGCGUUGUUCGGAAUUACUGGGCGUAAAGGGCGCGUAGGCGGCCCGCUAAGUCGAACGUGAAAUCCCCGGGCUCAACCCGGGAACUGCGUCCGAUACUGGUGGGCUUGAAUCCGGGAGAGGGAUGCGGAAUUCCAGGUGUAGCGGUGAAAUGCGUAGAUAUCUGGAGGAACACCCGUGGCUAAGGCGGUUCUCUGGACCGAUACUGACGCUGAGGCGCGAAAGCGUGGGGAGCAAACAGG